rnacentral:lncRNA from 1 species
UUUUUUCUUUUUCUCAACUGGUUCUUAAGCUCCUGCUGAAUGAUGCCAGAGGAGCCCCAGGACAUCUAUGUUUUUGAUCCUGCAACUUCUCUGCAGUCCCCUGGACAGACUAUUCCAAAGAAUCUGUUAUUAAGAAGUGCACUCAGUUCAAGUUUGAACAAUUCAACUGGAAUAAUCAUAGACAGAAUAAUUAUCUUAAAGGAAGGCCUCAAGCGUUUAAAACAACAACACCAUGAGGAGAGACCUGGCCCAAGAACAGAUAUGAGGAAGAAGGAAGAUCCACCGCUAUUACAGAGAGCCUUUUGUUCACUGGAGUUGACUCAGACAGUUCCAGAAAGGGCCACUUUGCUGAUUAUGGCAGUCCCCAAAGGAAGCAGCCAGGACAUCUCCACAAGGAGGAAAAGAUGGCUUUUAUGAAGAACCAAAUGAAGGACUUUGCUAGUGAAGUCAACUAUAAAAAGGAUAUGUGCAUAAAAUGAAAUAGGUUUGAAGUGAUUUAUACAUAUUGUAUAUAUGCAUCACACAAUCAUGAGAAAAGAAAGUUGGAAGACUCACACUUCCUGAUAGCAAGUCUUACUCCAGAGUGACAGUAAUCAAGACAGUGUGGUACUGAUGUAAGAACGAGAAAUGGAUCAGUGGAAUGGGCAGAGACUCUAGAAGCCAACCUUCACAUUAGAACCAAUUUACUUUGACAAGGAUCCUGAGAAAAUUCAAUAAGGAAAGACAUUAUUUUUUUUCCACAAAUGAUUCUAGAACAACUGGAUAGUAACAUGCAAAGGAAUAAAGCCAGAUCCUGGUCACA